rnacentral:rRNA from 1 species
AUCAACUUUCGAUGGUAGGAUAGAGGCCUACCAUGGUGGUAACGGGUAACGGGGUGUUAGGGCACGACACCGGAGAGGGAGCCUGAGAAACGGCUACCACAUCCAAGGAUGGCAGCAGGCGCGCAAAUUACCCAAUCCCGACACGGGGAGGUAGUGACAAUAAAUAACAAUACGGGGUUCUUUCGGAUUUCGUAAUUGGAAUGAGUACAAUUUAAAUCUCUUAACGAGGAACAAUUGGAGGGCAAGUCUGGUGCCAGCAGCCGCGGUAAUUCCAGCUCCAAUAGCGUAUAUUAAAGUUGCUGCAGUUAAAAAGCUCGUAGUUGAAUUUCGGGACCAAUAUGUCGGUCGUGCCUCGGUACGUACUGGCAUCGUUGGUUUCUCCCUUCUGACGAACCAUGAUGUCAUUCAUUUGGUGUCGUGGGGAAUCAGGACUGUUACUUUGAAAAAAUUAGAGUGUUUAAAGCAGGCUCACGCUUGAAUACAUUAGCAUGGAAUAAUGAAAUAGGACGUUUGAUUCUAUUUUGUUGGUUUCUAGGAUCGACGUAAUGAUUAAUAGGGAUAGUUGGGGGCAUUAGUAUUCAAUUGUCAGAGGUGAAAUUCUUGGAUUUAUUGAAGACUAACUACUGCGAAAGCAUUUGCCAAGGAUGUUUUCAUUAAUCAAGAACGAAAGUUAGGGGAUCGAAGACGAUCAGAUACCGUCGUAGUCUUAACCAUAAGCUAUGCCGACUAGGGAUCGGAUGAUGUUAAUUUUUUAAUGACUCAUUCGGCGCCUUACGGGAAACCAAAGUGUUUGGGUUC